rnacentral:sRNA from 1 species
GCUGGGCGUGGUGGCUCAUGCCUGUAAUCCCAGCACUUUGGGAGGCUGAGGCAGGAGGAUCGCUUGAGGUCAGGAGUUCGAGACCAGCCUGGCCAACAUGGUGAAACUCAUCUCUACUACAAAUACAAAAAUUAGCUGGGCAUGGUGGUGUGUUCCUGUAAUCAAUCCCAGCUACUCUAGAGGGUGAGGCAUCAGAAUUACUUGAACCCAGUAGGCAGAGGUUGCAGUGAGCCAAGAUGGUGCCAGUGUACUCCAGCCUGGGCAAUAGAGUGAGACCCUGUCUCU